rnacentral:lncRNA from 1 species
UUUUGCAUGACCGUGUAGCUUAUAAUACAUUUUGACCAAAUGUUGAAUGGGUUGUGUUAGAUUACGCCCACUCCAAAGCGAUUUUGAAUUGUUGAAUACACAGAAUGAAUUUGUAUUAAUGUUUAUUAUUUUACAGAAAUCUUUCUUCGGACUGUAAUGAUGGUUAACUUUGAUAUAAUGUGACAAACGUCACUGGACAACACGUGGUGCUAUUAACACCUACUACAGUAAAUGCAGUAUAACCCGAGCAGCCUUCUCCAGCUUCUCACCGCGACUACAGCUCACUUUAUCCCGCACGACACCUGUCCGAAGAAAUCAGCAGCUCUUCAGCCGUCUCGGAGCAGGCGGAGACCGGUCCUUGGAAAGGUUCAUGCUUCCGCCCGAAGACAGAGGGAUUGGGCACCUAUAAAUGUCUACAGCACAGUAACGUGCCAGCUGAACACUGAAGAACACACACACACACACACACACACCGUCCAUGAGGGCUUUGACGAGGCUAACCUAAAAUGA